AGUCAUCACCUUUGAGGAUGGACAACCUUCAGCUUCAAAUGACUCAAAAUACCUACAGUCACCAGGCCCGUGAAGCCUUGCCAUUUUUGAGAGAAGGGAGCAGUGUCUACAGGAGGUGUCAUAUUUGUUGUGCCACCACCAGCCCCUAGAGACAUGACGUGGCACUCCCAGCCCAGCCCAGUCUGGUCCUGUGCAUCUGCGCGGCCACCUAGAAUACAGCCGCGCAGCAGCUCCUUGCAGCUCGUCAGAUAUACCACAAGAAUGAAAUGGAGAGGAGGAAGGCAGCAGCAACAGGAGGAAUGAAAAUCCCUCCCUGGAGAGUCUGCAUACUACAACUGAGAUUCAAAGACAGCAGCAUUAAAGUAUAGAGAAGAUCAAGUAGUACAGGUUCUACAGGGUUCUGAUGUCAUGGACCACAUGGAAGGUGACACAGUGCAUGCUGUGGUGCAGGUACUGCAGGGUGCUAAACCCAUUGCUGAUCAUUAGAAAUGGCUAGCACAGAUUUCUUAUAAUUCAGGCAGUUAAUUAAAUUCCACCCCACCCGAAAACAUGGAGCUUUAUAAAAUACCAUUGCAUGCCUGACAAUUUGCUAUUGGAAUUAGGUAUGCUGUAUGCUGCAUAAUUCUCAGCAGGCCCUCUCCAGUUGGAUUUGUAUAUUCAGCAUUUAGUUCCAGAAGCACCACUUAUUGGCACAUUCAGUACAGAAUCCAAUACAUGUAAGAAGUCUUAUCUACACCUACCUAUAUUAUGAUCAGCAGUUGUGAUUGCUACCUUACUGUACAGAGCUGAGACAUCUCAAGUUGCUGGAGAAACACUAUCAAUGCUACUUUCGGAAGAUUCUUUAAAUCCAGUGAGAAGGCAAAUGCACCAACAUUAGCAUUCUUUCACAACAAAUACCAUGAGCAGAGGCAACAAUCAUUCAACAUUAACUUUGUUGGACCAGCCAUGUCAUCCAGAUGUCUUACUCCAGGCUUCCAAAGCAAGUUUUAUUCUCCCAGCUCAGUCAAGGAAUAGGCUGAAGAAGAGGGCAGAGAAAGCUCUUCAAAGAUGUCCUCAAGGCCAGCUUCAAAAAUGCAACAUCAACUUUAACUCAUGGGAAGCCAUCACCCAGAACUGCCCCAAAUUGUUGAAGAGUUUGCUGUAAGGGUGUCAGUACUUUGAAACCUCAGGAUGACAACAGGAGACAGAAAUGUGGGAGCAGGAGAAAGCAUUUUUGCACUUAGAAAUGGAAUUUCUAAACCUAGUGCUUUAAGAAUUGACACAACGCUCAGUUGAUGAAUAGCAGAAAGGCUUGCUUUAAUUACUACCAAUUAGAAAACUAACUGACAGAAAAACAAAAGGCUUUUUCUUAGUGUUCAAUAAAUGACCUAUUACAGUCCUUGUAUUAUCUUAGCUGCAAAGAGAACUUUACCCAAUGCAAGCAGGAAGCAGUUCUUGUACAGCUUUACAGAGCAUGGGUCCUUCACUGGUCGGUGGGUAGCAGGAUGGCUUCUUGAUCUUCUCUGGACUCCACACAUCUUCCUGGCAGUUCUGUUUUGUUUUUGGUACUGUUUUAAUUGCAUAGCUUCAAAGCAUUCCUUCUUGAUAGUUGGUUAAUCAAAGUCCAAACAAAGCAGGCAAGGACAUCAUUAACAGGGAGGUAAUCCCAACAAGGAUCAAAGGGGACAAGAGGGCACAAAAGCCCCCAUGGCUCACCAAAAGCA